GAUUGUUCUCUGGUCCUGAAGAAGGUCAAAGGUCGAGACGUUGGUCGUUACGGCUGCAGACAGGUCACAUCAGGAGAAACAGAGCGUGGAUUCGCUCAUGUUUUCCUGUCUGCCGUCACCAGUGAGUAUUUACAUAAUGUACUGAAACAUUAUGGGCUUGAUAUUUGUAUUGGGGGCCUCUGAUGUAGAGACACAGCGAGGUGCUCCACGGGACGGAGACAUGAAGACAUCAGUCUUUCUGCUUCGCCACUGCGCCCUUAUAUAUUUUACUAGGUGGAGAUACAACAACAACAACAACAACACCAACCGGGUCAACCGGAUCAACAUCAACCGGACCAACCGGAUCAACACCAACCGGACCAACACCAACCCAAUCAGAAGUAGAAGAAGAGACUCUUCACGCGCCAUCGUCUCGUCUUCGCUGAGGGAAACCCGCACGUUGACACCUUCUCGCUGCUGGUGACAGGUGACACCUGUGAAGGCGGUUCCUCCCUGGACUCCGUGAUGUUGGUCCUGCGUGUGGCCGAGCUGUUGCUGGUCACCGUCGUCCUGGUUCUUCUCGCCGCCGGCCGCGGUGAGGAGCCUCUCUCCCGCUUCACGCCGACUCACACGAGCCUCCAGCUGACAUGUGGUUUGUUCUGCAGGGAACCGGAGGCCGACCCAGUGCGGCGCCCUGAGAUGGAGGUCAGAGAAGGAGCGUGGUGACGGAGGAGGAGGCGACGGGAACUACGAGAACGUGGGCGGCCCUUCUGUGUCUGUCGGGCCCCCUGAGCGACGGCCCCCCCCC